rnacentral:rRNA from 1 species
UACGAAGGGUGCAAGCGUUACUCGGAAUUACUGGGCGUAAAGCGUGCGUAGGUGGUGAGUUAAGUCUGUCGUGAAAGCCCCGGGCUCAACCUGGGAAUGGCAAUGGAUACUGGCUCGCUAGAGUGCGGUAGAGGAGAGUGGAAUUCCCGGUGUAGCAGUGAAAUGCGUAGAGAUCGGGAGGAACAUCAGUUGCGAAGGCGGCUCUCUGGGACGGUACUGACGCUGAGACGCGAAAGCGUGGGGAGCGAACAGGAUUA